GCUCGUCUCAAAGAUUAAGCCAUGCAUGUGUAAGUAUAAAUAAUUUUACUUUGAAACUGCGAAUGGCUCAUUAUAUCAGUUAUAGUUUAUUAGAAAUAUUUUACUACUUGGAUAACCGUAGUAAUUCUAGGGCUAAUACAUGAGUAAAACCUCAACUUCGGAAGAGGUGUGUUUAUUAGUAUGAAAACCAUAUAUCUUCGGAUAUAAUAGUGAGUAAUAAUAACCUUUCAUAUCGUAUGUCGUAAGAUAACGAUAGUUCUUUCAAGUUUCUGCCCUAUCAGCUUUCGAUGGUAGUAUAUGGGACUACCAUGGCAGUAACGGGUAACGAAGAAUUUGGGUUCGAUUUCGGAGAGGGAGCCUGAGAGAUGGCUACCACAUCCAAGGAAGGCAGCAGGCGCGUAAAUUACCCAAUCCUGACAUAGGGAGGUAGUGACAAUAAAUCACAAUGCGGAACUUUUAGUUUUGCAAU
rnacentral:rRNA from 1 species